ACAUGCCUACAACAUAGCAUUAAUGCAACAGAUCCCAUUAGAGAUGUGCAGUUAAGCGUGCUCAGGCUAGAGUAGUAUCGGGAUGAGUGUCUGCUUGGGAAGUCCUAGUGUUUUACAUGCU
rfam:Picea glauca, whole genome shotgun sequence.